rnacentral:rRNA from 1 species
CUAAGCGGUCACACUGCCUUGGCAAAGCCUGACCUUGUCUGAUCCCUGAAGCUAAGCAGAGCUGGGCCUGGUCAGGACUUGGAUGGCAGACCUCUGGGAAAAUCAGGUGCAACAGU